AGAUCAAGCAUAAGAAGGGCAUUUGGUGGAUGCCUUGGCGCCAAGAGGCGAUGAAGGACGUGAUAGGCUGCGAAAAGCCGCGGGAAGCCGCCAAUAGGCAUUGAUCCGCGGAUAUCCGAAUGGGGAAACCCGGCCCAUUAGGGUCAUCGCAUGGUGAAUACAUAGCCAUGCGAGGCAAACCCAGCGAACUGAAACAUCUCAGUAGCUGGAGGAAAGGACAUCAACCGAGACUCCGUCAGUAGUGGCGAGCGAACGCGGACCAGGCCAGUUCCACUUAUCGAUCAACCAGAAGCGUCUGGAAAGGCGCACCAUAGAGGGUGACAGUCCCGUAUGGGUACAGGUUGAUAGGUGGGCUCGAGUAGGGCGGGACACGUGAAAUCCUGUCUGAACGUGGGGGGACCACCCUCCAAGCCUAAGUACUCCUUGGCGACCGAUAGUGCACUAGUACCGUGAGGGAAAGGUGAAAAGCACCCCGAUGAGGGGAGUGAAAUAGUUCCUGAAACCGAAUGCUUACAAACUGUGGGAGCGGGCUCACUCAAGGUGAGCCGCUCAGAAAUCAGAAGACAGAAAUCAGAAGACAGAAAGCGUUGGAUUGAGGCGAUGCGCCUCCUUUCAAACGGCUUCUGGCUUCUGGGUUCUGAUGACUGACUUCUGGAGGGCUCGCUUUUAGCGAGCCCGUGACCGCGUACCUUUUGUAUAAUGGGUCAGCGACUUAAUCUCUCGAGCAAGCUUAAGCCGAUAGGCGUAGGCGCAGCGAAAGCGAGUCUGAAUAGGGCGUACAGUUCGUGGGAUUAGACCCGAAACCGAGUGAUCUAGCUAUGGGCAGGUUGAAGGUAGGGUAAGACCUACUGGAGGACCGAACCCACCUAUGUUGAAAAAUGGGGGGAUGACCUGUGGCUAGGGGUGAAAGGCCAAUCAAACUCGGAAAUAGCUGGUUCUCCGCGAAAACUAUUUAGGUAGUGCGUCAUGUGUUUACCAUCGGGGGUAGAGCACUGGAUGGGCUAGGGGGGCGCGAGCCUUACCAAACCUAACCAAACUCCGAAUACCGAUGAGUACAGCAUGGCAGACAGACGGCGGGCGCUAAGGUCCGUCGUCGAGAGGGAAACAGCCCUGACCGCCAGCUAAGGUCCCUAAGUUAUGGCUAAGUGGGAAAGGAUGUGGGAAGGCCAAGACAACCAGGAGGUUGGCUUAGAAGCAGCCAUCCUUGAAAGAAAGCGUAACAGCUCACUGGUCUAGAUUUAAGCCGUCCUGCGCCGAAGAUGUAACGGGGCUCAAGCCAUACACCGAAGCUGCGGAUUCCAGAAGUCAGUUAUCAGAAGCCAGAAACCAGAAUGUGCAGUUUGCCGUUCUGGUUUGUGAAAGGAGAGACGAUGUCGGAUCGGGUUGAGAGUUUCGAAGACCUUGAAGUCUUCAAACGAGCCUAUCGGAUAUCGUUGGAAGUCCAUCGUGCGAGCUUGGACUUUCCUGCUAUCGAGCAGUGGGCCCUGGGUGACCAGGUUCGACGGGCAAGCAAAUCGAUUUGCGCGAAUAUCGCGGAAGGGUUUGCGAAGCAACGCAGUUCGGCGGCAGAAUUCAAACGUUAUCUUCUGAUUGCGACCGGUUCGAGUGACGAGAUGCGGGUCUGGGCACGGUAUUGCCUGGACUUGGGCUACAUCGACGAGGCGAUGUGGCGCCAUUGGCGCGACGAGUACCAUGAGGUCUCGAAGAUGUUGGUGGGUCUGUCGAAGAACUGGCGGAAGCAAUAAGCCUGGAAGUCCUCUGACUUUCUGGCUUCUGUUAUCUGACUUCUGGAGUGGUAGCGGAGCGUUCCGUAGGCCUGUGAAGGGCAACCGUGAGGAAGCCUGGAGGUAUCGGAAGUGAGAAUGCUGACAUGAGUAGCGAUAAAGAGUGUGAGAAACACUCUCGCCGUAAGUCCAAGGGUUCCUGCGCAAGGCUAAUCCGCGCAGGGUGAGCCGGCCCCUAAGCCGAGGGCGAAAGCCGUAGGCGAUGGGAACGAGGUUAAUAUUCCUCGGCCUGCUGGGAUGUGACGAAUGUAGUAAGUUGUUCUUUCUUAUCGGAUUGAGAGGGCAGCGAAUACGUUCCAGGAAAUAGCCCCAGCUAUAGACCGUACCCCAAACCGACACAGGUGGACUGGUAGAGCAUACCAAGGCGCUUGAGAGAACUGCGUUGAAGGAACUCGGCAAAAUGCACCCGUAACUUCGGGAUAAGGGUGACCUAUAUUCGGGCAACCGAGUAUGGGUGUCACAAAAUUGGGGGUGGCGACUGUUUACUAAAAACAUAGGGCUCUGCGAAGUCGCAAGACGACGUAUAGGGUCUGACGCCUGCCCGGUGCUGGAAGGUUAAGAGGAGAGGUGCAAGCUUUGAAUCGAAGCCCCAGUAAACGGCGGCCGUAACUAUAACGGUCCUAAGGUAGCGAAAUUCCUUGUCGGGUAAGUUCCGACCUGCACGAAUGGCGUAACGACUUCCCCACUGUCUCCAACGCAGACUCAGCGAAAUUGAAUUCUCCGUGAAGAUGCGGAGUACCCGCGGUCAGACGGAAAGACCCCGUGCACCUUUACUACAGCUUUGCAGUGGUAUUAGGAGUGACAUGUGUAGGAUAGGCGGGAGCCUUUGAAGCAGGGCCGCCAGGUUCUGUGGAGGCACCCUUGAAAUACCGCCCUUAUUACUUCUGAUAUCUAACCGCGGCCCGUAUAUCCGGGUCCGGGACCCUGCAUGGUGGGUAGUUUGACUGGGGCGGUCGCCUCCCAAAGAGUAACGGAGGCGCGCGAAGGUGGGCUCAGGCUGGUCGGAAAUCAGCUGCUGAGUGCAAUGGCACAAGCCCGCCUGACUGAGAGGCCGACGGGCCGAUCAGAGACGAAAGUCGGUCAUAGUGAUCCGGUGGUCCCGCGUGGAAGGGCCAUCGCUCAACGGAUAAAAGGUACGCCGGGGAUAACAGGCUGAUACUCCCCAAGAGUCCAUAUCGACGGGAGUGUUUGGCACCUCGAUGUCGGCUCAUCACAUCCUGGGGCUGAAGCAGGUCCCAAGGGUUUGGCUGUUCGCCAAUUAAAGUGGUACGUGAGCUGGGUUUAGAACGUCGUGAGACAGUUCGGUCCCUAUCUGCCGUGGGUGUACGAGACUUGAGAGGAUCUGUCCCUAGUACGAGAGGACCGGGAUGGACGACCCUCUGGUGGACCGGUUGUUGCGCCAGCAGCACAGCCGGGUAGCUAAGGUCGGACGGGAUAACCGCUGAAAGCAUCUAAGUGGGAAACCUCCCUCAAGACCAGGUCUCGCUGAGAGCCGUGGUAGACCACCACGUUGAUAGGCCAGGUGUGGAAGCGCAGCAAUGCGUGAAGCUUACUGGUACUAAUCGCUCGAUCGGCUUGAUUUU
rnacentral:rRNA from 1 species